UUUAAUUAUAAAGGAAAGAGAAAAAUACUGUGAACGUUUCCCACAAAAAUACAGUGCAAGUUUCCAUUCUAACAAUUAUUAUCUCUUCCUCUUUAUUAAGAUCAUGAACACAAGUCCAUAAAAUUUCUAUCCAAAAAAAAUAAAUCUUUCUCAUUUUCCUUUACACUGAAGAACAUCUUCAGUUAAUUUCUUUUAACACAAUUUUCAUGAAAGAUUAGGAGAAAUAUAAGAGUACAAAUCCAAAAAAAAAAAUUGAAGAAACAAAAAAAAAAUUACAAAUCUAUAUUCAGAUCCGUCGCGCAGUUGUAGAGCGCUGACUUCCAAUUAGAAGGCUGCAUGUUAGAUUCAAAUCGGGUUCAAAAAUUUCGAUCUAUCUUCGAUUAUGAGUUCUUUGUAAUAGUUGCCCAUUUUCUGAUGAAGAAGCAUUUGAAAUAUAUAAGAAAUGAUGUUGCGGCUGCUCGAAGAGACACAACUCUGUGAGUAAAACACACAUUAUUUUGAGAAAAGGUAUGACUGUUUGGAUGGUUGUGGCUGUUCAGAAAAGACACACUUUCUGAUGAACAGACAUGACUGUUCAGAAAGGAUACACCUUUCCGAUGAACCAUUGCCACCUUUUGAAAGGGGCACCUAAUGACUAUAUAAACCUGCAUUUUUCCACUGGUUUGGACACAGAUAUUUUUUUGCAUUAGAAAACUUCUUGCUUUCCGAAAUACUCUGUGUAAUCAUCUAAUUGUUGAGUGAGUUUAAAGAUAAUCUGAUCAUUUGAGGUACCACUACAAUCAGAUUAUUAGGCCAUUUUAUCUUGGAAGGAAAAUUCUGCAACCUCGGGUACUUGAGGGAAAUUAUUUUCUUAAGAACACUCUGUAAAGUCAAGGGACUUGGUCUUUUUUCUGUUUCAUCUAAUUUUCUGAAAACAGACUUCUUUGAAAGGUCAUUUUGAUUUUCUGUUGAAGGUGUUGCAUAAAUUCAUAAGUGUUCUUAUUUUAUACUUGAACUUUUGUUGAAGUUGUUGUGUCUAAACACAGAUUCUUGUGUACCCGUAAAACAACAAUCUUAAGAAAAUAAGUUAUUUUCAGAAUCUGUGUUGCUUGAUUUAUGGAGAUUAAAGAUUUAAGCUUUCUACUCCGUUUGAACUUAACUAGUGCUUUGAAGAAAUAAAAUCUUCAUCAUAAGUUAAAAAUCAUUGAAUUGUCGAUUGAAUGUCAUAAAAAUGUCAUCAUUAAACUAGAAACAAGGGGUGUUUAAAAUUGUUACAACUUUAUAAGUAGUAAUUCGAUAUACUAAAUUUACUGUCUUGUUGUGACAAAAAAAUGACUUCUAACAGUCAAGUGAAUGAUGCUGCAACGACUGUGGAACGAGUCGUAUGAGUGCUCCACAAGCAAUGUCACCAGCGGAGAAACCCAAAAAAUUCACGGGUGUUGAUUUCAAAAGGUGGCAAAAGAAGAUGUUCUUCUACCUUACAACUCUAUGUCAUCAAAGAUUCAUAUUUGAAGAAGCUCUAGAGGUGCCCAAGGAAAUUUGUCGUUAUGGAGGCGUGAAAAUACUUCAAUUUUCUAUGCAGGAAUUGCAUUCUAAAUGGCCUCUAAGAUGAGCUGUACAAUGUGUAUAGUGAAAUGUAGAUGGCAAAAGAAUUAUGGGCUGCACUAAAAAGAAAAUACAAAUCUGAGGAUGUUAGAACCAAGAAGUUCUUCGUUGCAAGAUUUCUUGAGUUUAAAAUGAUUGACAGCAAGUCUGUUGUAUCUCAAGUCCCAGAACUACGAGUUAUGAUCCACGAUAUCUUCUGUGAAGGUUUGGUUGUGAACGAGAGUUUUAAGUCACGACAAUAAUAGAGAAGUUACCACCUAUGUGGAAGGACUUCAAGAACUACUUGAAAUAUAAGCGAAAAGAGAUGACAGUUGAGGAUCUUAUAGUGAGAUUGCACAUUGAAGAACACAAAAAAGCUGCGAAAAGAAGGUCAAGAGGAAAUUUUGCAAUGAAUGGAGCAAACAUUGUAGAAGACGACCAAAAAAAUUCAAAAAAAGCGAUAGAAAGAUGGACAUGAAAGCAAUCAACCUAAGAAGAAGUUCAAGGGAAAAUGCUUUAAUUGUGGAAAGAUUGGCCACAAGUCAAUGGAUUGUCAUCCCUUAAAGAAAAGGAAAAAGAAGGACCAAGCAAAUAUGGCUGAAUCCAAGAAAGAAAUGGAUGAUCUAUGUGCCAUGCUGUCUGAAUGUAACUUGGUGGGAAAUCCUCGAGAAUGAUGGAUGGAUUCUGGUGCCACCUGACACAUUUUUGCAAAUAAGGAGUUGUUUGUUGUUUUUUCUCUGGCUCAAGGCAAAGAGAGGAUAUAUAUGGCCAACUUCGCAACUGCAAAAGUUGAAGGAAUAGGAAAAAGUCUGCCUAAAAAUAACAUCAGGCAAAGUGUUGACUUUGAACAAUGUCUUGUAUGUAUUGGAGUUACGGAAGAACUUGAUUUCUGUAUCACUUCUAGACAAAAAUGGAUUAAAAUGUGUAUUUGUUUCUAGAAAAAUUGUACUUAGUAAAGUAGAAGUGUAUGUAGGGAAAGGCUACCUCACUAAGGGCCUAUUCAAAAUAAAUGUAAUGAAGUUGAAAUCAAUAAAAGUUUAGUUUCUUCU